GACGAACGCUGGCGGCGUGCUUAAUACAUGCAAGUCAACUGAAUUUGAGGUAGCAAUAUCUCAAGUAAGGUGGCGCACGGGUGAGUAACACGUAGGUAAUCUGCCUUUAGGACUGACAUAACCUAUCGAAAGGUAGGCUAAUUUCAGAUGAUGCAGCGGCUCGACAUCGAGACAGUUGUUAAACCUUCGGGCCUAAAGAUGAGCCUGCGUCUGANAGGUUAGUUGGCGGAGUAAAAGACCCACCAAGCCUGCGAUCAGUAGCUGGUCUGAGAGGAUGAUCAGCCACACUGGAACUGAGACACGGUCCAGACUCCUACGGGAGCAGCAGUAAGGAAUAUUGCUCAAUGGCCGAAAGGACUGAAGCAGCAACGCCGCGUGGAGGAUGAAAUAC
rnacentral:rRNA from 1 species